rnacentral:rRNA from 1 species
UGGGGAAUCUUGCGCAAUGGACGAAAGUCUGACGCAGCGACGCCGCGUGGGUGAUGAAGGCCUUCGGGUUGUAAAGCCCUGUGGGGAGAGAAGAAUAAGUCAUGGCUAAUAUCCAUGGUGAUGACGGUAUCUCCUUAGCAAGCACCGGCUAACUCUGUGCCAGCAGCCGCGGUAAGACAGAGGGUGCAAACGUUGUUCGGAAUUACUGGGCGUAAAGCGUGUGUAGGCUGCCUUGUAAGUCGGAUGUGAAAGCCCCGGGCUCAACCCGGGAAGUGCACCCGAUACUACAAGGCUGGAGUCUCGGAGAGGUUGGUGGAAUUCUCGGUGUAGAGGUGAAAUUCGUAGAUAUCGAGAGGAACACCGGUGGCGAAGGCGGCCAACUGGACGAUGACUGACGCUGAGACACGAAAGCGUGGGGAUCAAACAG